GCUACUCCUGGAUAGCUCAGUUGGUGAGAACAUGGUGCUGAUAACGCCAGGGUUGCCGGUUCAGUCCCCGUAUGGGGCAGCU